rnacentral:rRNA from 1 species
UACGUAGGGUGCGAGCGUUGUCCGGAAUUAUUGGGCGUAAAGGGCUCGUAGGCGGUCUGUUGCGUCAGGAGUGAAAACUCGGGGCUUAACCCCGAGCCUGCUUCUGAUACGGGCAGACUAGAGGUAUGCAGGGGAGAGCGGAAUUCCUGGUGUAGCGGUGAAAUGCGCAGAUAUCAGGAGGAACACCGGUGGCGAAGGCGGGUCUCUGGGCCUUAACUGACGCUGAGGAGCGAAAGCGUGGGGAGCGAACAGG